rnacentral:lncRNA from 1 species
AGCGCUCCGGGCGCUGGACCGUACUUGGGACUCUAGAGGGCUGCGUCCGGACAGAGAAGCUGGGUGGCGAUCUGUGGGUCACUCCUGGAGGUGUCUCUACCCGGAGCUGGAGAAAUGGGCUCCAAGGCCAGCUUCUCGGACGAGCGCCAGCCUGAGAUGGAAGUUUGCUAGCGCUCUAGACACCGCGCUGACCCGGAGCCGAAUCUUUAUCUUGGCUGGAAAGGCUGAUUUCGACCGCCAAGCGCCAGUCCAACGUGGGCCAGAGAAACCGAGACCUCCUUCACUGUGCUAGAAAUGGUGGUUUAUACACACCAACCAAUUUGGGCAGACUGUCAGCAGCUACUUGAGAGAAUCAGACAGGAAGCCCAGAAGCUGGUCUUAGGGGAAGACAGGAAGCCAGCCAGUGACCCUGCACUGGUUGAGAAAGCUUUUUUUCUGGGCAACCAGAUUGGAAGCCACUACAAGAAAGGACUACCUGGCCUAGCACAUUCUACCAACAGAAGCAAGAAAUAAAAAACAUUUGCCAAAACAAGAUAAAGAAGCAGGUCACAGUGACAUAAAGUCUCAACAAAUGCGGGUGAAAUGAGAGGAUCACUGUGUUCUUUAAAAUUCCAGAUUUGUGUGUAAGGCUGGAAACUUGUUUACUUCUGUGUUUUAUUGGAUGCAACCUAAAAGAAUUAUAAUUGAUGUGUUAAGAUCUGUG